UGUUAAAUUUUCUUUGAUUUGUGUUGUAUUAUAUUUAUACACUGUGUAUUUGCAAUGUGCACUGAAGUGGCCAAACUGCAAGCCGCUGUGAGUCCCCUCCAGGGUGAGAAGAGCAGGAUAGAAAUAUAGUAAAUAAAUAAAUUAUCUUGUCCCCUUCCAGACUAUGGAGGAGCCCUCUCUCUGGGUGCACAUCAUCAAAGUGAGGGAAGUAUCCAAGGUAAAGAAGGACACCUCUCCCUCCCAGGAACCUUCUAGAAAUACAGGCAGUCCCCAAGACAAACAAGAUAGGUUCUGUAGGUUUGUUCUUAAGUUGAAUUUGUUUGUAAGUUGGAACAGGUACAUGUUUAAAGUGCAACUCCAGCUGAGAAAGAGAGAGAGAGAGAGAGAGAGAGAGAGAGAGAGAGAGAGAGAGCGCUAGUGUUUUGGAUAGCAUAGAGAAGGGUUAACAUCCCUGUGGUGUUUGUUUUGCUGUCUACUCGUUCGAAGAUUUCACCUCUCCUUCCUUAGAGGUUUUUACACAGGGGCUGGAUGACCAUCUGUCAGGAGGGCUCUCUUUCUGUGUUUCUGCAGGGCAGAAAGGGGUCAGACAGGAUGGCCCUUGGAGUCCCUUCUAACUCUAUGACUCCAGGAAAUGGGUCUCAUGGGGACAAACCCCACCCACUGGACCCUACGCUCCCGUGCAUCUCCCUCAACUUUUUUCCUGACAGACUUCAGGCAAAGUCGGGGUUAGAAGUCAAUAAUGAGAAUGAAUUAAUGUGAUUGACAAAUGAACAGGCCUUAAACUAUGAUUUGAAUUUUCUUAAUUUCAAUUGGUGUUUUAAUAAUUGAUGUUUUAAUUGUCUCAAUCUUAAUUGUAAUUGUUUAUUUUGGAAUUGUGUGUUGUUGGCAUCAAAUUGUUGCCUGUUGUAAGGCUGCCUCGAGUCCCCUUCAGGGUGAGAAGGGUGGGAUACAAAUGUGGGAAAUACAUAAAAGGGGCUCUGAAAGCCAUCCAGUCCAACCCCUUCUGGCUCCUCUUUCUUCCUUCUGGAGAGAGGGACCAGUGGGGUGCCAUAAAGAGGGUCCUGUCCUGGGGCUUUCAGAGCUAUGCAGCAUCUUCAUUAAAUGACGGAAUAGAAGGGAUGCUUCUUGGAUUUUCAGGUGAGACCAAAUUGGGAGAGACCGUGCAUACGUAACCGCACUCCAUGCAGUCGUGCCAGCCACGUGACCUUGGAGGUGUCUAUGGACAACACAGGCUCUUCGGUUUAGAAAUGGAGAUGAGCACCAACCCCUAGAGUCGGAAACAAGUAGACUUAAUGUCAGGGGAAAACAUUUACCUUUAUUAACAAAGCAGUGGGUUUUAGCUGGCUAAAUGUUUGGGUUAGAUUAGAGAUUCGUGACUUACUGAACUUGAAGGGGCAUAACUUAAGAUGGAUGGCAUGCAUAUUUAUGGUAUGAAAAAGAUAAUGUAAAUAAAAACUUUAAUAGGCAUACAAUAAGAGCCAAUCUCCUAGCAAUUUGGACAUACAAGGAGGAGAUGGAAUUGAUGACCCCUGUAUUGGAAGCAGUACUAAGAUCAACAGGGCUCAAAGGAAGUUGGAAUCCCUUCAGAGCUGUUCCUGUAGGAAGGGGCGGCCCAGGACCUCAAUACAGAGAAGUACUUCCUUACCAGGUUCAGGGUCACAUGGCAGGCAGAGGUCCCCUCCCCCAAUUGAGGCCAACGGGGCCUCAACCUGCAGCCCCAUCCCAGGAGGCUUUGGGGGGCUCCAUCUGAGAGAGAGGGAAGGACUUCUUCUGACCUUGCCUUCUUGUCUCUCUCUCCUUACAGUGUCUAUGAGCUCCUUCAGAAGACAUCAAUGCUCCCUGAGCCACGAGAAAGCAGAAGACCCGGCCCUGCAUCCUAGGAGAUGGUCUUCCCUGGACCCAGAGCAGUGGUCUCUUUGGCCACUAGAAUGUGAAAGAACACCUGCACCAUCUUUGUCAGCUGGCCUGUAGUCCCUCCUCUGCAGUCCCUCCUCGGCAGAGGUCAUGUGGGCAGUGGACUACGUGGCCUGAAAACAUCUGAAGAUGGCCACGGACCACUUUCUGGAGUCCAAUGACAGGAAAGAGAGCUGGGCCUGAGGGUACCCUUCCCCUGUCCCCAUGGGGCCCUGAGCGGUCUCCCCACAGGGAUGGAGACAAGGCUGACCCUGACCAUGGAUCCCUCUUCCCUCUUCCCUACAGGGCUUGUGGUGAAUUGGUAUGCAGCAUACUCAAUUCACCCUAUUGUAACCUGGAGGCGGCACUUGACCUGUUCCUGUCCAAGGUGAAGGAGGGCCCUUGGCUGGCCCAGGAAGGCAAGGACCAGGGUGGCCCCACUUUGGAUGCGGCCACAGUAGGGACAUCCCCACCUACACUCUGUGUUUGGGGGGCUGGGAAAGGUGAACGGGACCCCUUCUUUCUUGGCCUUCAGCAGUAGCACUCCUUGCAUUUGAGCCUCCUUUCUCUCUGCAGGCAAGGGCAGCGCGGGCCAUUGGUGGGAUCAUCAGACACAUCAGAAAUAUCACUCGCCUGGAGGUGUUGUUCCUGGAGCUUCUGAUCGCCUUGGUGACCAACUUCAUCAGGGUCACAAGGCUUGGAUUCGAGGCACCCAGCAGGUACCGGAGCAGCAGCUACAUUCC